UCUACGGGGAGCAGCAGUGGGGAAUAUUGGACAAUGGGCGAAAGCCUGAUCCAGCCAUGCCGCGUGUGUGAAGAAGGCCUUCGGGUUGUAAAGCACUUUCAGUGGGGAAGAAAGCCUUGGGGCUAAUACCCUCGAGGAAGGACAUCACCCACAGAAGAAGCACCGGCUAACUCCGUGCCAGCAGCCGCGGUAAUACGGAGGGUGCGAGCGUUAAUCGGAAUUACUGGGCGUAAAGCGCGCGUAGGCGGUCUGAUAAGCCGGUUGUGAAAGCCCCGGGCUCAACCUGGGAACGGCAUCCGGAACUGUCAGGCUAGAGUGCAGGAGAGGAAGGUAGAAUUCCCGGUGUAGCGGUGAAAUGCGUAGAGAUCGGGAGGAAUACCAGUGGCGAAGGCGGCCUUCUGGACUGACACUGACGCUGAGGUGCGAAAGCGUGGGUAGCAAACAGGAUUAGAUACCCGAGUAGUC
rnacentral:rRNA from 1 species